GACGAACGCUGGCGGCGUGCUUAACACAUGCAAGUCGAACGGAAAGGCCCUGCUUUUGUGGGGUGCUCGAGUGGCGAACGGGUGAGUAACACGUGAGUAACCUGCCCUUGACUUUGGGAUAACUUCAGGAAACUGGGGCUAAUACCGGAUAGGAGCUCCUGCUGCAUGGUGGGGGUUGGAAAGUUUCGGCGGUUGGGGAUGGACUCGCGGCUUAUCAGCUUGUUGGUGGGGUAGUGGCUUACCAAGGCUUUGACGGGUAGCCCGCCUGAGAGGGUGACCGGGCAAAAUGGGACUGGGGUACCGCCCAGGAUCCUACGGGAGGCAGCGGUGGGGAAUUUUGCACAAUGGGCGGGAGCCUGGUGCCAGAACGCCGGGUGCGGGAUGACGGCCUUCGGGUUGUAAACCGCUUUCGCCUGUGACGAAGCGUGAGUGACGGUAAUGGGUAAAGAAGCACCGGCUAACUACGUG
rnacentral:rRNA from 1 species